rfam:Syphacia muris strain Valencia genome assembly, scaffold: SMTV_scaffold0001236
AUUGGUUACGGCGAUAUGACACCGCAUACCUAUUUGGGUAGAUUCAUCGGAUCAAUGUGUGCUUUAGCAGGAGUUCUAACAAUUGCUUUACCGGCUCCAGUAAGCAUACUUCGAG